GUACUUGCUCCGGCAGUACAUAUACUAAAUUGGAACGAUACAGAGAAGAUUAGCAUGGCCCACCUGCGCAAGGAUGACACGCAACUUCUGUCUCUCUGUCUCU